ensembl:ncRNA ZK1067.10 ncRNA
AAACCAAAAAAGAUUCCGUCGAGCCGGAUUCGAACCAGCGACCUAAGGAUAACCACUGACUCUACAGUCCUCCGCUCUACCAACUGAGCUAUCGACUGCAC